rnacentral:rRNA from 1 species
UUAACUAUAUCCAUAUACACCUGUGAACCGUUUGAUUGACACUCUGUGUUAAUUUUACAAACAAUGUGUAAUGAACGUCUAGUUAUUAUAACAAAAAAUAACUUUCAACAACGGAUCUCUUGGCUCUCGCAUCGAUGAAGAACGCAGCGAAAUGCGAUAAGUAAUGUGAAUUGCAGAAUUCAGUGAAUCAUCGAAUCUUUGAACGCAACUUGCGCUCUCUGGUAUUCCGGAGAGCAUGCCUGUUUGAGUGUCAUGAAAUCUCAACCAUUAGGGUUUCUUAAUGGCUUGGAUUUGGGUGUUGCCAGUCUCUUGGCUCACCUUAAAGGAGUUAGCGAGUUUAACAAUGUCGUCUGGCGUAAUAAGUUUCGCUGGUAAGACUUGUGAAGUUUGCUUCUAAUCGUCUUCGGACAAUUACUUUGACUCUGGCCUCAAAUCAGGUAGGACUACCCGC